rnacentral:lncRNA from 1 species
ACGAGGGUGAGUAUUGUGGCGUUCGUUGCUGAAGGCAGGAAACAAGACAAGAAGAAUUGUCUGACAGUCGCAAUAGUUUCCUCUCCAACAAUGCUCCAUGCAGAUUUGAAGAACGCAGAUGUGAAGCCAUCAGGCCCAGGCGCCUUGUUGGGAUUUAAUUUGAGGAUUGUUGUGGUGAUUUCCAGAUCAGAAGGAAAAGAGCCAAUGGCGGAUCUUUGCUCCUGACUGCAGCGGAAGGGAAUGAUCUGCAGGAACCAGUGGAAAGGAGAGUGUAGCUGAGGGAGUUCUGAAGGAGCAAGGAUC